AGCGAACGCUGGCGGCGGGCUUAACACAUGCAAGUCGAGCGGGAAGUCCCUGCUGUUGGGGGGGGCUCGGGUGGCGAACGGGUGAGUAACGCGUUAGUAACCUGCCCUUCACUGGGGAAUAACUGCAGAUAACUGGUACUAAUACCUGAUGGGAGCUCCGGCUGCAGGGGGGGGGUUGGAAAGUUUCGGCGUUUGGGGAUGGACUCGGGGCGUAUCAGCUUGUUGGUGGGGUAUUGGCUUACCAAGUCUUUGACGGGUAGCGGGCCUGAGCGGGUGACCGGCUCAGCUGGGCUUGGACUGAGGCACAGCCCAGUCCGGGAGGCAGGAGAGCAGAGUGUUGUAUAAUGGGCGGAACGCUAAUGUAGUCAAGCCGUGCGGGGGAUGAGGGCAUUGGGGUUGUAUUGUGAUUCCGCUUGUGACGAAGCGUGAGUGACGGUAAUGGGUAAAGAAGCACCGGCUAACUACGUG
rnacentral:rRNA from 1 species